GGUUUGAAUUUAACAGGAUUUUCUUUUUUAAUCCUUUUUUUUCAGCCUGCUGCAUGGCAUGCAGGAUCUUAGCUCCCCAACCACGGACUGAACCCAUGCCCUCUGAAGUGGAAACAUGGAAUCUUAACCAUUGGACCACCAGGUUUCACAAGUGGAAGUCUGUAUUUUCCAGUGGUGCUCAAUGAGCAUCCUACCUUCCUCAUCCCUCAGUCCCUGUUACCCACUACUCUUGACCAAAGAUCCAUGGUCCCAGUGUUUUAUAACAUGGCACAGUUCCAACAAUAUGGUGGCUGCUGGAAAGAAAUGAAAACAAAAGACACGCAAACAGAAGCUGAACCUCAGCAGGCUGAAAAUUUGGAUAAAAAGCAAGAUGUGAACUCAGAAGGCAACAGCCAUGACAUGCGAGUGGUGACCAGUAUCCCUGAGAAUGUGGCUGAAGAGGAAGAGGUGGAGAGCAGUGGCCACCCUGAGGGAGGUAUUCCCUCACCUACCUGGUUGGCUCGGGUCAACAAAGUAGAUGAGGGCACCAGGGUGAUGUGGGUCAGUGCCAUGAUGCACAGCCCGAGUCAUCAUCAGAAAGCAGUGCAGGACCGUGCUGGGAUUAUCGGGACCUCAUUGAACCUGAUGAUGAUGGAUUUUGAUUCUGAGAGUUAUGACGAGUUCACUCCCCACCUCUCAAUGUCCCCUGUCCCCCUGCCAAAUGAAGUAGGUGAGGGCAUACAGCUUAGGGAAUAUCUAUCCCCAGCAAACAUCCUCCAGAGGUGACACUCACAUCCUCCGUGAAGAGUGUCAUACCGCCCCUCAUGCCACCCUGUACAGAGAGGAUAAGGGUAUCCAGGGGGAAAUGAGAGGAGGAGCAGAGCAGGUGGAGAAUGGGUACCAGCAUGAGGAUGAAUACGUAGGUGAGUUACCCAGUGACUGUGAGCGGUGCAGUUCCUCCCCUACCUGCUUGACCCUGGUCAACAGAGUAGAUGAGGCCAUCCAGGGGCACAUGGUUCAGUGCUGUGAUAAGCAGAACGAGCCAUCGUAAGAAAGCAGUGAAGGACCAUGGUGGGAGUAUGCGGAUCUCAUUGAAUUUGAUGAUGAUGAUUAUUCUGGUAGUUACGAGGAGUGUUUUUAUUCCCAUAUACUGUUCCCUGCCUCCCUGCAAAACGAAGGAAGUGAGGACAUACAAUUGGAGAGACCCCCAGCAAAUGCCAUCCAGAAGUGAUGAUCAUAUCCUCCAUAAGGGGUGUCAGUAUUCCUCCCCUCCUCCUACUCUGCAUAGACUGGAUGUGGGCAUCCAAUGGGAAAUGAGAGGCAGCAGAGCCAGUGGAGAGUGGGUACCAGGAUGCAGAUGAGUAUGAAUAUGAAAGUGCAGUAGAGAAUAACUGAGGGGCACGGUUCCUCCCCUGCCUGGUUGACCCAGUCCAACAAAGUGGGUGAAGGCAUCCAGUGUGACAUGAGAUAUGCAGCAAAGCAGACCGAGUGUAGGAACCAGGAUAAACAGGGUUAUGAAGGUGAGGAAGAGAACAGUAACUAUGAGGGACAGGGUUCCUCCCCUACCUGCUUGGCCCAGGUCAACAAAGUGGAUGAGGGCAUCCAGUGCGACAUGAGCUGCUACAAAGCCCAGGUAGAGAAAUCUCCCCAGCAGAUGCCUUCCAGGGGUGAAGAGACGGCAUCAGACAGCAAAACCAGGGGAUCAUGGAAAAAACAGUUACAAACAGGAAACUGAGCGUGGAUAAAGAUGAAGUGAUCUUAAAUGAUGAGAUUGAGGAGGCAUAUCAUGAGAACUUGAAAAGGUGUGCAAAAGUUAAAAAGACUGUGAAAGGCAGGAAGCUGAAAGACAUGAACAGCUUCUCAAAUGCUAAGACAGCCUAUCUGUUGAAGAAAACUACUAUCUUGACCGUUGUGCUUCUCAAGGAUUCAGAAGACUCUGAGCUGGAAGAGGAGGGUGACAUGGAUGAGGUAGGAUGCCUCCUUGAAGAAGUGAGUCCACAGGGCCCUCUGACAUCUUCCACAGGAAGGUCUUAUCACAAGGCUGGAAGGAUAAUCAGGAUGCCACCUAAGAGCCCUGUCCCUUCCCGACUUGUAGUCUGGCCCACCAGAAAUAAGUGCAAGUUUUUACAAGUCUGUGGUCAAUGUGAGUGUGUCCCUGUUAUUACGACAGGAUGACUGUGAAAGCACUGGUGUCAGGCUCCAAAGCAAACCCACCAUGGCCAAGUCGGAGGGACUGCAGUCCAGGAGAGCC
ensembl:lncRNA